rnacentral:tRNA from 1 species
GGCAGUGUGGCAUAGUGGUAAGGAGAAGGGCUUGUAACCGAAAGGUUACCGGUUCGAUUCCCCGCUGGGGCACUGCUG